CUUUGCACACGCGGGAGCUCGGAGCACCGGGCUGAGAGGGCGCUGACCGCCGUACGUCCGUACGUACGCGAAACGCUGCGCCGACCGCCGAACCUGUUACCGGGUAAUGCCGGCGUAGGGAGUAGGUCUCAUGACCAC
rnacentral:ncRNA from 2 species